UUGUCGUCUAGUCCGUUUAGGAUACCUGGUUAUCACCCAGGCGACCCGGGUUCAAAUUCCGGCAAUGGAA
rnacentral:tRNA from 1 species